rnacentral:rRNA from 1 species
GACGUAGGGGGCCAGCGUUGCUCGGAAUUACUGGGCGUAAAGGGUCCGUAGGCGGUGCGGUAAGUCGGGAGUGAAAUCUCUGGGCUUAACUCAGAGGCUGCUUCCGAAACUACCGUGCUAGAGUGCGAGAGAGGCAAGUGGAAUUGCGGGUGUAGCGGUGAAAUGCGUAGAUAUCCGCAGGAACAUCCGAGGCGAAAGCGGCUUGCUGGAUCGCAACUGACGCUGGAGGGACGAAAGCUAGGGGAGCAAACAGG